UCAGGAUAAACGCUGGCGGCGUGCUUAACACAUGCAAGUCGAACGGAGUAGUUCUCCCGAAGACCGAUGAAGCUUGCUUCUGAAGAAUUCAUUGAGCUACUAGUGGCGGACGGGUGAGUAACGCGUGGGUAACCUGCCUCACACAGGGGGAUAACAGUUGGAAACGACUGUUAAUACCGCAUAAGCGCACAGUAUCGCAUGGUACAGUGUGAAAAACUCCGGUGGUGUGAGAUGGACCCGCGUCUGAUUAGCUAGUUGGUGAGGUAACGGCCCACCAAGGCGACGAUCAGUAGCCGGCCUGAGAGGGUGUACGGCCACAUUGGGACUGAGACACGGCCCAAACUCCUACGGGAGGCAGCAGUGGGGAAUAUUGGACAAUGGGGGAAACCCUGAUCCAGCGAACCGCCGCGUGAGUGAAGAAGUAUCUCGGUAUGUAAAGCUCUAUCAGCAGGGAAGAUAAUGACGGUACCUGACUAAGAAGCACCGGCUAAAUACGUGCCAGCCGCCGC
rnacentral:rRNA from 1 species